UAAAAGUGCAGAUAUCCUUAUGGUUUACUUAGGUCUGAAGCACAGGAAAAUCUGUAGAAAUACUUAUGUUGUCUUUGGAAGACUUACAAGGACACAUAAAAUAUUUCUCCUGUAAAAACCACUCAUGUUUUAUCAAUAUUACAUUAUGCACUUCCCACUGUUGGUGUGCCUUGGUCUCAGAUUAGUUCAUUGUUCUCACCUGCAAAAUGACACACACACACAUACUCCAGGUGAAGCCAAGUUCCUAGCUUAACAAGCCAGUACAACACAGAGGAUAAAAUCUGAAGGAAGAAGCAAAAGCUUUUUUUAGACUGUGGAAGAUGAGUGUAUUUUCAUUUAGGCUGCCAGAAAAAGAAUGUGCUCUUUGGACAAUGUCUGGCUAAAUUGGGGUGCAGUUAUGGUGUGUGAGGUUUUUGUACCCAGCUGCUGCUGGUGUACUUCAGCUGCAAUGCUGCCUUCCUGCAAGUUGUGCUCUCCUGACCAUGCUGAGUCUAGAGGUUUGCCUGAAGGAGGGGAAGUGACAGGGUUACAGGAACUGGAAGUCAGACCUAGAAAAGCCCUUCACCAGCAGCUGCCAUGGAUGAAAAGCUGUGUUUUGGCAGAUGGCAGCGACAUAGAGGGGUGUGAAGACGAGAAGCACUGUGGUGCUAACCAAGAUAUCAACAUUUCAUUUGCUGCCAUCCUUUGCAAAGGAGUUGUGGAAUCACAGAAUGGCCUGUGCUGGAAGGGACCUCAAAGAUCAUCUAGUUCCAACCCCCCUGCCAUAGGCAGGGACGCCCAUCCUCUGCUUUCUAGUCAGCAAAGCAAGCCUUCCCUGUCUUUCCAAAACCUAAAGCAGUAGCCAGUCUGUGACCAAAAUUCACGUGGGGAUACAGAACAACUACUGGUGCAGAGCUUUGCUGAUUUAAAGACUCUUGAAAAUGUGCAGAUGUUGUCAAAUGCAGAUGAUGCUUGGUUCAGAGAAAUGCCAUGUUCAGGGUGAAUAGCCUUUACUGAUUUUGGCUGUACUGUCUGGAAUACAAGUGCCUCUGCCUCUUGCUUGUCAGCUCAAUGUUGCUCGCUCACCAUUCCUACCAUGCUGCUGGUGGAAGGAGAAAGGCAGAGAGCUCCCAACCCUCCCUCAGGAAAAUCAUCUGGGCUACGUCCAGCCUCUGGGCCUUCCAGAAAUGUACUGAGCACGUCUGAAGGGAGUCCAGGGAUGCUUGUGUGGCCCCUGUGGCUGGCAGGACUGGGGGGAUGCAGCCCCAGGCAGGCAGCACUAACAGACAGUAGGGAGCAUCACAGCAAAUGACCAACAGCUGCUGUAGGACUCCUUGCUUUGUAGUUUAUCCAAAAUGUGUUUUUUUCUUUUUUUUUUUUUUUCUCCACAACAUGCAUCAUAUGUGUUGGGCUACAUUUCCCCUUAACCCAUCUCAUGGGCAAUCUCUCUUGCAUGUUUGUUGAGCUGGUUUAGUCUUUUAAACUUGGAGAGGAAGAGCUCAUGGAAUUGGACAGAAGGUACUCAGCCCAGUGCAGAUUUUUCACUGAGGCUCCUCUGACACCUCUUUUUUCUCCUUUAGGGAUUGCUGUGCCCCAGAGACCAUUUCCCCUUUAAACAGAGCAGUUUUACUGUAUUUUUUUUUCUGGCAGUAUAUAUUCCAGUUUGCAAAGGCACACCGCAGAAUAUUGGCCAUUAUGGUUCCCCAGAGUUUUCCUCCAUUAACCAUAACAAAAUGUCAUUAAGUAUUUAGGAAGUGCAGCCUCUAAACAUACUUCUAGUUUCACAGUUUUUUUUGUUACAUCCUGUAAUAUAAGGGUUAGAGAGAAAUGAUUAUUUAAAAAAAAUGGUUUUGAGGUAACACAUUACUGAAGUCAUUUCAAAUGAUCUGAAGGAGUCAUUUGGGAUGACAGCCUUUAUUAUUUCCUCUGCCAGUAAAUUAAGGGGAGGGUAUGAAAUGCAAGUGACUGAACUGAAGCAAGAAAUAUGUUUCCAGGUGUUUGCAGAUGACGUCCUAAAUAAUUUAGUAGCUGGGAACAGAGUGUUACGCAGUCAUCCAGCAGAAAAGGGAAAAUUGAAGGUGUGCAAUUCCCUCAGCUACUGUUUUGGUCUCACUGAUGUUUACAUCAGCAAAGAGCAAUAACACAGUGACGAAUCUGGCCAGCAUGUCUGCAGUUUUAUAAUAGUAUGCAUUUCCUACUGAAAAAGGUAAAACUGAGAGCCACUCAGAUCUCUUCACUGUUUUUCGGUGUUCUCUCUUCAAAAUAAUUGCAAGUUCCUCUAAAUGGUUAGCUAUGCUUGUGACCCUAAUUUUUACUUUUUCUUAGAACCCGUGCCUUUUCCUGAUCAUGGAAUGUAUGUUUUGUCUGUUUGACAUCCCCUUCUGUUCUUUGUGUCCGUUACUGCCUCCACUGUAACUUGUCUGUGACUCCUCCACCGGGCUGUGAUGGCUGCUUUGAGAGGUGCCACUACAAGCAUGUGAGGGUGAGGUUUUCAUUGGCAUUGUUGUCAUCAGAAAAUAACGUGAUGCUGUCAGUGCAGUUUUAAUGCAGGCUCCAGUCUAGUGCAGAUAAAAUCUUAUGGUUGUAGAGGCUCAUAUUGAUUCAAAACUGCUUGAUUAAUGAAGAUAAAAGAGACCUUUGUUCACUUGCAGUAGUAGAUGGCAGCGAUGUUUCAGACUGAGUGGGUAAAACAAAUUGAUUCAUACAUAUGUGCAAAUUACUAACCCACUUCUAGUUUGAAUGGCUAUACAGUUCAUUUUAAUUUGAUCCUCUUUCUCCAAAAAUUUUCCACAGGUAGAGAAGACAGUUCUCAAAUGUGAAUACCAGUUCCCAUUAUUAGUCAAACAGAUCAUCUGCGUAUGAGUCUCCAGAUAGAUUACGAGCAGUUUCUUAUAAACAGAGCUGAUAUGGAAGGCUUUAUUCAUAGAAAUGUGGACAUUUCAGUUUGGCUAAAGGUGACAAAAUUAGAUUUUACCUUUGGCUGGCUUCAGAGAAUCUAAGCCACUGGCAAGAAUGGGGUAUCAGGCUCUAAAAAGAAACUUCUGUGAGACGAUGGGAAGCUUUGAAAAAAAUGCAGUUUCAUAUCCUAGUGUUUUCCUGCAAUAAUGGGACAAUUUAAUGAAAAGUUGUGUUAUAUCUGUUCAGGGUAUUUUCAAGACAGUCCCAUUUGAAGUGGGAGGUUGGACUCCAAAGGUUUCUUCCAAGUAGUAUUUCUUUAGCUUCAUGACUUAAAAUAUCUGGGAUUACCUCAGUCAACCAUCGCUUCUUCAGAAUCUGAAAUUCAGAUUUUUUUCACUGCAAACCUUAGCUACUGUGGUGAAAUAUUGAAAACUACCUGAAAGAGAAGUUCUGAACUUCACUCGUGCUUACUGUAUUCCCUGUCAGAACCAAUUUGAUUGCUUAAAUAUAUCAUAUAUUUAUAUGAAGUAUAAACAGCCAUAAUAAUUUUGGCACUGUGUUAGAAAGGUCAGGAGUGUGGCAGAUUUUAGGAAAGAAUUAUCUAUAUUAUUGCAAAUGUUUGAACAUUGCGAUCCACAGCUCAGUAAAUCAUAAGGAGUUAAAUUAUAUAUUUAAACUAACUUUUUUUUAUGUGCUAAUUUUGAGUUUCUGAAAUUUGUUUUUCUCCCCUGAUCUUUUCUUUGGAAAUGCUGUUCCACUAUAAAAAAAAAAAAAGAUUGCAUGACUUUUACUUUUUUAAAAAAAAAAACUUUUGUUUCUCCAAUCGUGAAUCAUUCAGGUUACCAUGAAGUACAUAGUGGGAAGUCAUUAUUUUGAUAGUUGCUUUAUUUUAUGAGGCCACCUCAGUGCAUGUUUUUUUUUUUUUGUUAGGCAAAUUGCAUAUGGACGACUGAGUAUAACAGGGAGAAAAUAUAUAUGUAUUCUCUCCAUCUGGUACUUUGUUCCAGUAAUGCCUAGUGUUUUUCAUUGCUAGUUUAAACAUCUGAUAAGAACCCAGUGUUUGGAAUAGGUAGGAGUCCCAGCCUUCCCUCUUCCAGUAUUGUAAUCUGCACUGAGACCAGCAGGUUGCAUACAUGAUUGUUUUCCCAUCUCUAGAGCACUUUGCUUCUGACCUCAGCAUUGACAAAAUUUCCUGGAGACCUGCUGGUGAUGGACUCCUUGAGGUUUGAGUGCUGCCCUUUGACUUGCAGGCACAGAAUUUGCACUGAGUACUUUGAAGCUCUUGGAAGAGACCAGUUGGAAGGUCUGUUUUUGGAGAGAGGCUGACUAAAAUCAGCCUUGGUGUUUGUGCCUUCAUAUUUAAGGAAAAUAGUUGUUUCUUAUGAGGAAUUACUUGGACUGAUAUUUUCAAAGACACCAACAUGAUUAUUAAGGGAAACUUUGAAAAUAGUAGACUCAUAUACAGUGGUUCCAUUUUCUCCUCUGAACUCUGUUUUGUUAAGCAUGCAUUCCAGAUUCAUGGUUGUUUGGAGAGAAACAGGCUCCUUUUCUAUGUACAGUGAUGCUCCACUGCAUGAAUUUCAGCUGAUUUUGGAACGUCUUGACCCAAAAGGUUAUCUUUCCAAACCAACUGCACAGAAAAAAUAUGUUAAUGUAUGGAAAGAGGAUACUGAGGCUCGUCUUACUCUGGUCGUAUGCAGAUUGAAUUUUCAAUUGUGCUUGUAUCUGAAUGCAUAUCUGAAUAAUCUGUCACUUAUAUGACAAAAUCUGGAUCUAAAUGGAAAACUGAGGUCCCUGUUUGUGUUUCCAGUUUGUUGAUUAGUCUGAGUCUGUUGUAACUUUAGGAAAGUAUGAUUUUCUUCCUCUGAUCUCGUGCAAUAUUUUGAACACCAACUACAAUUCUGAGUAUAAUGAGCGAGCAGCAAAAGCUGCUGUUGCCUUUAAAAUGAUAAAGUCUGUUUGCAGACAAACUGCACUUGUGUACUUGAGUUUGAUGUUUUUCCUUUCAUGACUGUUACAUGUCAAAAUUUGACUUUAAGAGUUCUUGUGUUGGUGACAGUGGCAGACUUGAAAAAUACUUGAAACGCAUAAAGUGGUGUGACGUCUUUGCUCUGUGGAGGAGUCAGGCUCUGAAGCAACUUCUGAAUGGUGAAAGAUACUUCAGAAAUGAAAUGCCCAGGCUGAGAAGUGCCCAUGAGAUAAGGGACUCUGUUUCUGAUCUAUAUAGAUCCAGUGCCCUCUUAAUCUGACCCUACAGCUAAAUCCAUCUGCCUUAUUUUUUCAGGUUUAUUCUUUAUAUGGAUCAGUAGUUCUGGAAUGUGGAUAUCUGAUAGACUGUUUCAGAGAAGUCCCUAUUAUGCCUUGACAAAAUGAGAGAUACAUGUUAACCUGAAAUGUGGCAGGAGAUAUGAGGCAAUGGGAACAUAAUGCUGAAGAGAGAGAGCGUGAAUGUGUAAAAGAAGGUUGUUAAUAAGAAAAUAGUUACCGCUGGUGUGUAUUUGAGAGAGGGGAUCUCCCAGUAAGGAUACUGCAUUGUACUUCAUGAAUAUGGCUCAGUUGUAAUAAAUUCCUGCCUAACAGUUAGUUAUUUAAUACC
rnacentral:lncRNA from 1 species